GAGAUCAAAAAAUAUAGCCAGCUAAAAAACUACAAAAAAAUUUCAUUGUUUUAUUAGAAUAUCCCUAAUAUUCCUGAAAUCAGAUUCCGAAAUAAUCCGUGAACAAGCUGAUAUUCAAAAUGAGUUGAAUCUUUGUGUGUUUGAGUGUUUUGGUUCAUUUUUGGUCUGAAUUGAUUGCUGGGUGUUAUUAACACUAUUACUGGUUCAAAAUUGCUUAAAAUUUAGUUUUCUUUGGUCAUUUUGUGGUGGUAUAUUGCUGUCGGUUCUUCUCCUUGCUACUGCUAAUUGUGGAUCUCACUCUUUUCAUUCAUCUUUUUCUGUUCCAGGUGUGUAUCAUUCAUAUGUGGAUAUCACUUGAUGAACAAACUAUAGUUUGAGCUAAAGAUGGCAUAGUGUAUGAAAUUAGUUGUACAUUUGGCCUCUUGUCCCAUAACUUUUAUAAUUUUUAUGUAAUUUUGAAUUUUGAUUAGUGUAUUGGUCGAAGGAUGGUUGUAAUUAGAACUAGACAAUGUUAGUUUAAGCAUAGGGGGCCUCUGUUGAUUGUGUUCAAUAGUUAUAUUGUUUCAUAUCUCUAGCAUGCUCCAUAGAUACAUAUGUACUCAUUUGUAUUUCUCGAUACUGACUGAAGC
rnacentral:lncRNA from 1 species